rnacentral:rRNA from 1 species
AACGAACGCUGGCGGCAGGCCUAACACAUGCAAGUCGAACGCCGUAGCAAUACGGAGUGGCAGACGGGUGAGUAACACGUGGGAACAUACCCUUCGGUUCGGAAUAACUCAGGGAAACUUGAGCUAAUACCGGAUACGUCCGCGAGGAGAAAGAUUCAUCGCCGGAGGAUUGGCCCGCGUCUGAUUAGCUUGUUGGUGAGGUAACGGCUCACCAAGGCGACGAUCAGUAGCNGGUCUGAGAGGAUGAUCAGCCACAUUGGGACUGAGACACGGCCCAAACUCCUACGGGAGGCAGCAGUGGGGAAUAUUGGACAAUGGGCGCAAGCCUGAUCCAGCCGUGCCGCGUGAGUGAUGAAGGCCCUAGGGUUGUAAAGCUCUUUUACCCGGGAAGAUAAUGACUGUACCGGGAGAAUAAGCCCCGGCUAACUUCGUGCCAGCAGCCGCU